CAAGCCACAGAAGGCAGGAUCAGUGAUGGUCUCCACCAUGGCCUGGUGCCCUCUGCUCCUCACCCUCCUGGCUAACUGCAUAGGGUCCUGGGCCCGGGAUGUGCUGACUCAGCCAACCUCCGUGUCUGGGGACCUGGGCGAAAGUGUCACCAUCUCCUGCACUGGAAUCCCAGACAAUGGGGGAAAAUUCGAUAGAAUGUUCUUCCAUAAUUUUGUACACUGGUACCAACAGUUCCCAGGAAAAGGACCCAGACUCCUCACCUAUAAUGAUGAAAACAGAAACUCUGGGGUGCCUGAUCGAUUCUCUGGUUCCAGGUCAGGAAGCUCAGCCUCCCUGACCAUCACCAGCCUCCAGGCUGAGGACGAGGCUGAUUAUUACUGCCAGUCCACUGACAGGAGCCUCAGUGUUCACACAGUGCUCAGGGCCUAUGGGGAAGGACAGGCUGCCCUGGGGUAUGAGUUCAUGACAGGUCAAGAGUGA